AUCUCAUGGCCUUGAACAUCCCCCAAUCUCAUCUGGCUUCAGAGGCGAAGCAGGGUCGGGUCUGGCUAGUACUAGGAUAGGAAUCCAUCGGAGAAUACCAGGGAUC
rnacentral:rRNA from 1 species